rnacentral:rRNA from 1 species
UACGUAGGGUGCAAGCGUUACUCGGAAUUACUGGGCGUAAAGCGUGCGUAGGUGGUUUGUUAAGUCUGAUGUGAAAGCCCUGGGCUCAACCUGGGAAUUGCAUUGGAUACUGGCAGGCUAGAGUGCGGUAGAGGGUAGUGGAAUUCCCGGUGUAGCAGUGAAAUGCGUAGAGAUCGGGAGGAACACCAGUGGCGAAGGCGACUACCUGGACCAGCACUGACACUGAGGCACGAAAGCCAGGGGAGCAAACGGG